rnacentral:rRNA from 1 species
UACAGAGGCCUCGAGCGUUAGGCGGAAUCACUGGGCUUAAAGCGUGUGUAGGCGGAGUUCUAAGUACCUUGUGAAAUCCCACCGCUCACCGGUGGAACUGCUGGGUAUACUGGAUCUCUUGAGCCACUUAGGGGCUACCGGAACAAAUGGUGGAGCGGUGAAAUGCGUAGAUAUCAUUUGGAACGCCAAUGGUGAAAACAGGUAGCUGGGGGUGUGCUGACACUGAGACACGAAAGCCAGGGGAGCAAACGGG